GACGAACGCUGGCGGCGUGCUUAACACAUGCAAGUCGAACGGAAAGGCCCUGCUUUUGUGGGGUGCUCGAGUGGCGAACGGGUGAGUAACACGCGAGUAACCUGCCCUUGACUUUGGGAUAACUUCAGGAAACUGGGGCUAAUACCGGAUAGGAGCUCCUGCUGCAUGGUGGGGGUUGGAAAGUUUCGGCGGUUGGGGAUGGACUCGCGGCUUAUCAGCUUGUUGGUGGGGUAGUGACUUACCAAGGCUUUGACGGGUAGCCGGCCUGAGAGGGUGACCGGCCACAUUGGGACUGAGAUACGGCCCAGACUCCUACGGGAGGCAGCAGUGGGGAAUAUUGCACAAUGGGCGGAAGCCUGAUGCAGCAACGCCGCGUGCGGGAUGACGGCCUUCGGGUUGUAAACCGCUUUCGCCUGUGACGAAGCGUGAGUGACGGUAAUGGGUAAAGAAGCACCGGCUAACUACGUG
rnacentral:rRNA from 1 species